rnacentral:rRNA from 1 species
CUUCCAUCUGGAAGAAUCUGGAGACAGGUGCUGCAUGGCUGUCGUCAGCUCGUGUCGUGAGAUGUUGGGUUAAGUCCCGCAACGAGCGCAACCCUCGCCUUUAGUUGCCAGCAGUUCGGCUGGGCACUCUAAAGGGACUGCCGGUGUUAAACCGGAGGAAGGGUGGGGAUGACGUCAAGUCCUCAUGGCCUUUAUGACCAGGGCUACACACGUACUACAAUGGCCGGUACAAAGGGCAGCGACACUGCGAGGUGAAGCCAAUCCCGUAAAAUCGGUCUCAGUCCGGAUUGGAGUCUGCAACUCGACUCCAUGAAGUUGGAAUCGCUAGUAAUCGUGGAUCAGCAUGCCACGGUGAAUACGUUCCCGGGCCUU